rnacentral:rRNA from 1 species
GAUGAACGCUAGCGGCAGGCUUAAUACAUGCAAGUCGAGGGGCAGCAUGACCGUAGCAAUACGGUUGAUGGCGACCGGCAAACGGGUGCGGAACACGUACACAACCUUCCUUUGAGCGGGGAAUAGCCCAGAGAAAUUUGGAUUAAUACACCAUAGCAUAUUGAAAAGGCAUCUUUUUAAUAUUAAAGAUUUAUCACUUAAAGAUGGGUGUGCGGCUGAUUAGGUAGUUGGCGGGGUAAUUGCCCACCAAGCCGCCGAUCAGUAACUGGUGUGAGAGCACGACCAGUCACACGGGGACCGAGACACGGGCCCGACUCCUACGGGAGGCAGCAGUAAGGAAUAUUGGUCAAUGGACGGAAGUCUGAACCAGCCAUGCCGCGUGGAGGAUGAAGGUCCUCUGGAUUGUAAACUUCUUUUAUCUGGGACGAAAAAAGGGAAUUCUUUCUCGUCUGACGGUACCAGAUGAAUAAGCACCGGCUAACUCCGUGCCAGCCGCCGCGGUAACAC